GAUGAACGCUGGCGGCGUGCCUAAUACAUGCAAGUCGAGCGAAUGGAUUAAGAGCUUGCUCUUAUGAAGUUAGCGGCGGACGGGUGAGUAACACGUGAGUAACCUGCCCAUAAGACUGGGAUAACUCCGGGAAACCGGGGCUAAUACCGGAUAACAUUUUGAACCGCAUGGUUCGAAAUUGACAGGCGGCUUCGGCUGUCACUUAUGGAUGGACCCGCGUCGCAUUAGCUAGUUGGGGAGGUAACGGCUCACCAAGGCAACGAUGCGUAGCCGACCUGAGAGGGUGAUCGGCCACACUGGGACUGAGACACGGCCCAGACUCCUACGGGAGGCAGCAGUAGGGAAUCUUCCGCAAUGGACGAAAGUCUGACGGAGCAACGCCGCGUGAGUGAUGAAGGCUUUCGGGUCGUAAAACUCUGUUGUUAGGGAAGAACAAGUGCUAGUUGAAUAAGCUGGCACCUUGACGGUACCUAACCAGAAAGCCACGGCUAACUACGUGCCAGCCGCCGCUGUAA
rnacentral:rRNA from 1 species